rnacentral:lncRNA from 1 species
UUUGCUUAACGUUCGCUCAACAAAGAAAAUCUGUAAGAACCCUUCUUCCCUUUUUACUUCUGUAUAUUGCUUUGUUAAGUCAUACAUGAAUGAUCAAAUUGGAUCUGAAUUACCCAGUUGAUCACGACUCUGAAACAUAACAUCUGUUUUCUUUUUUACAAGUUUGAUCUUUUAUACCCUUGUGUUUGAUAUUUUCUUGAUUUGCGUUUGGUCAAAUGGAGAUCAGAGGGUUUGGUCCCACCAUUUUGAUUUCUUGAGCUUUUGUUUGUUGUAUGAUCACCAAAUAAUGAUUAGAUAGAUCAACUUCGACUAUUCGUUUUUUUCUGCUUUUGGGUUGAGAAUUGUGCUAUUCUGAAACUGAAUUUGGAUUCUUUAGAAGAUGAUUACUGUCCUUUUGCAUGAAUUUGUGUAAAGGAGUAGAGACCUGUUUUAUGGGAUUUUUGUCUUUUUGAUGUGUGCGACAAAAGUGUGGCCAGGAAAUAGUCAUGUAACCUUUGCUUUUCUAGUCUUUAAGAGGUGUUGGCUUGGUUUUCCUAAAGGUGAUCUGAAAAUUUAAUCAAAUAUGAUGGAUCUGAGUUUUGAAUUUGAUGGAGAGAAUGGUACUGCCUAGAAAUCCACACAAAAAAAUGUUAAUGCCUACCCUCCUCCUGUUUCUUGCACUUGCUCUGGCUCAGAACAUAUUUGCUGGCUUCCUGCAAUUUUGGUUAUAACUUGUCGUGUUAAAUUUUACAUUUUCACCUACUUUUUUAGCUAUCGUCACCCCCCCCCCCCUUUUUCCCUAAUAGUAGCUUAUCAUGUUUUAUUGUCCACCCUUUUCAUGUGUUUUAGAGUGCUUACUGUGUAUCAUGUGACCCUUUUUCUAUAACCGUUGUGUGCUAUCUUGUAUCCUGAUAUGAGCUCAAAGCUAGUGGCUGCACAUACUCUGUCUUGGACUGAUUGAUGUUUCAUAAAGCAUUAUAGGUUUCAAAGUUGAAAGGGAUUUACAAUUUGAUUUCCUUGUGGGUCAUAUUCUCUAUCUUCUGCAAAUUUCAUUUUAUUUUGAAUUUGACAUUGUUGUAAUAUGUUUGACAUGUAACAGGUACUAGUAGUGAAAUAUGGGAGGUGGACAGGAUGGGUCUGAUAAGGGACUCUUUUCCCAUCUUAUACCCGGUAUGACUGGUCAUUCUUCUGGUCAUGGAUAUCCACCGGGGCAGUACCCUCCGCCGCCUGGUGCUUACCCUCCGCAUCAAGGGUAUCCUCCUCAAGGAUAUCCUCCUCAGGGUUAUCCUCCACAGGGAGGAGGAUACCCACCUGCAGGAUAUCCUCCACAAGGAUAUCCUCCCGCUGGUGGUCACCACGCUCCUCCACACCAAUCAGGUAUUAUCUUUGGAACUGAUUUAUUUAGGCCCCAAUGAAUAAUAGAAAGCUGUAACUAUAGCAAGUGCACAAUAUGUUGGAUUUGUCUAGUUAAAUUUCUUUGGAUCUCUUUUACAAUUAGAUGCACAAAUAUGGAAAGAACAGUUUAUAUAUUGUGAGCACUGAAGCAGAGUACAUACAAUUCUAGGUGUGCUUCAUAAUAGAUAGCUCUUUGUGACCAAAUACUUUUUGACAUUUUCUUUCAUUGUUGAUGGUAUUUUUUGCCCUUUUGUUGCUUGUUACAUUUCAGGUCAUGGGGGCAUGGGGGCGAUGUUAGCCGGAGGUGCUGCAGCUGCAGCUGCUGCCUAUGGUGCUCAUCACCUGGCACACGGAAGUGGAUCUCACAUGGGACACGGUGCUGCUCACUAUGGACAUGGAGGCGGUCAUUAUGGAGGCGGUCAUUAUGGAGGCAAGUUUAAGCAUGGCAAGCAUGGGAAAUUCAAGCACGGAAAGCAUGGCAAAGGCGGGAUGUUCGGAGGCAAAUUCAAGAAGUG